UACGUAGGGUGCGAGCGUUGUCCGGAAUUACUGGGCGUAAAGCGCUCGUAGGUGGUUUGUCGCGUUAUCCGUGAAAACUCACAACUCAAUUGUGGGCGUGCGGGCGAUACGGGCAGACUGGAGUACUGCAGGGGAGACUGGAAUUCCUGGUGUAGCGGUGGAAUGCGCAGAUAUCAGGAGGAACACCGGUGGCGAAGGCGGGUCUCUGGGCAGUAACUGACGCUGAGGAGCGAAAGCGUGGGGAGCGAACAGG
rnacentral:rRNA from 1 species